UGUACACGUGUGGCCCCGCUGUCGUUUGCACCAAGACCACUGGCUGAUAUUGUCGACGCGUGUGGAUGUUAAAAUAUCGUACAAGAGAACAGUGCCCUCGGGGUAACCACGCGUAGUGCGCAGUAAAUUGUUCGCGAACUAUGUGUGCGAUAUACAUAAUAAUAUAACAUACUGACACGCGUUUAAUCUCUGCGAGCGUUUGUUGUUUUAUAAUAUUUUCGUGGUGAGAUUCAAAGUCUGCAGCGAGCAACCGUCUUUGUCCCGCACCGUACUAAAUGUUAUAAAAGUUGUGCACGAACGCAGAGCUGAUAUUGAAACGAAGAGAUAACUCAACGGGUGGAGGCAAAGAAACUUUUUUUUUUUCGUUCAAAGUACAUAAAGAGUUAUUUUGGCAUUUUUUCUCGGUCGGUUUAAACGAUCCGUCUGCAGAAACAUACGCGAUGUCGACGACGACUACAUGACGUGAAAGAUUAAUCCGGUGUACCUACGGCAAAUAUUAAUGUACGCAUAAACGGAAGCGCUCGUGAAUACAUUACGACACGGCAAACGCGACGAGGACAUGUCCGACCUGUGACGGUCGUGUUGCACGCAUCGCGUCCUAAGUGGCCUCGUGGAUUUUCGGAUCACAAAAUAUACGAGAUCCCACACACGAAAACCGUGUAAAAGAGAAUUACAAAUUGAAAUAAACACGACGUAUACGACACCAUCACUGCGACGACGACGACGGUAUCGUAUUGUAUACGAUUAUAUUAUACAUAAUACCGGUACGCGUCGAACUAAGAAAAUAAAAAUAAUAAUAAUAGUAAUGAUUAUAAAAUAAAACAAACAACAAUACCAAUAAAUAUAAAGCGACUUAAGGCAAGAGCGAAAAAAAAACGUGGGCAGACAAAACCGACGCGUCGACCCCCGCGGGACUAGCACGCUCACACACACACACACACACAUUGAUAUAUAUUAUUAUACAUAUUGUAAAUACACGUCAGCUGAAAAACCAGAACGUUUUAUGGAAUGGCUUUCCCCGCUCUUCGUCCAUCGUCACAACAACUCAUCUCGUCUGUUCGGUUACUCCACGACGACCCCUUAUACCGCCACCUUCGGCGACUACCUCCUCCGACACUUCUUCGUCCGACCUGGCUAAAGUCUUUUGAGCGUAAUGACGUAUUAUGGCUAAGGACCACCAUACCACCAGAGAUUCGACGAUGUUAAUAAUAUAUUAUAAUACCUAUAUAUAAACAUAAAAACGUCUGCCUUUUAAUUGUAAAAUAUAUCAUAUUCUUUUGCGUUUAUGGGAAUAUUUUGUUUUACAUAGCUUAAAGUCAACACCAGCAAACAUUCUUUAAAAAUAAAAAAUUUUUAAAUACAAAAAAUUAUGAUAUCGGGAACACAAGUCCAUACACUUAGUUUUAUCAUUUAUCAAUAAUUAGGUUCAGUAGGUUCACGAACCUACUUGAAGUGAAAUACAAACAAUUGACUCGUCAUCGAAUUUCGUUGAUAUUUGAGAACAGUUUAUUCGGUUAACUAAAAAUGGUAAUUUUCACAGUUGUUGAUUGUAAUUUUGACCUAUAUUGAAAUCAUUUACAGAUGUAAUAGUAAGGAAUAUUUACGCAUGAGAAAUAUUUAAAUAUCAUAUUAAUACAAAGGUUUUAAACAAAACAUAUAUUUCCCCUAACACUGUGCAGUAAUUCAUGCUGAUAAUAUUACACUGUACGUCUCUACAAUACAUAAACAUUAGUUAUUUAACCAUUUCCGGGUACUUUACACAUAUUAUAUUUAAAACGUAAGUUGUAAACUUAUAUAGUAUAAUGUAUCAUCAGUAGCUUAAUUUAACUAUCUUACAGAUUUUUGAAAAUGUUUUAUUACAUUUAUAACAUCAACCGUAAUAAUAGUUUAAAAUUCGUUGUACCUAUAAAACUGUAGUUAUUUUUGAAACAUUUUGGUUAUUGAAUAUUGAAAUAUUGUUGUUAUAAUUUUUUUUUUUUUUUUUGUGAGUACUUUAAGUUUGAGUAACUACUGAUUAGCGUAUCUAUAGUGAAAACCAAAACUUUUACAGUGUAUAUCAGACCACAUGGCUCGUCUAAAUAUGAAACACUUAAAACUAUUCAAAAACAUUAUUAUAUAUUAUAAUAUCAAAAUUAAGAAAUAAAGUACCUACUUGUCAAAAAUUAAUGAAUACCAACAAUUUCUUUAACAUCAUUAUUAUGCUAUGAGUAUAACAUUACUAUAUAUUGUACGACCAGGUUAUUUUUUUAUAUACAGUCCGAUAAAAAUCAAUUUUUGUACAUAAUUAUAUUGAAAAUUCACCAUUGUAACGCCCCCGUAUGAAACGAAUUUUCGUGCACGCCGUCCCGGUGGAAUUCCAAUUUUUUUUUUCGUUCGCUCGACCCCUUUUUCUUUAUUUUCGCCUUUUUUAUUAUUCCGUUUGCCAGUGAAUAUAUUCGCGUUUGAAUAAUAAUAGCAAAAAAAAAAAAAAACACAUGCACGCAUAUGUAGCAUCCCCCACGGGCUCUUCUUUAAAUUCUGCAGUGGGGUGACUGUAUAGGUCGUGCGAGUAUAUGUCGCGUACGUUUGUGUAAUGGGGUAAGCGAAGAAUUCGGAUGACGCGUGAGUUGAUAUUGCAUUUUACUACACGCUCGCGACACUGUGACCCGUUUUAUAUUUUAUGUUCGUAUCUAAAUACUUUCUUUUCUUUUCGGUCCAU